rnacentral:tRNA from 1 species
GCACCAGUGGUUAAGUGGUAAAAUAGUUCCUUGCCACGGUACAGACCCGGGUUCGAUUCCCGACUGGUGCA